GUGGGGAAUUUUGGACAAUGGGGGCAACCCUGAUCCAGCCAUUCCGCGUGAGUGAAGAAGGCCUUCGGGUUGUAAAGCUCUUUCGGCAGGAACGAAACGGUGAGCUCUAACAUAGCUCGCUAAUGACGGUACCUGAAGAAGAAGCACCGGCUAACUACGUGCCAGCAGCCGCGGUAAUACGUAGGGUGCGAGCGUUAAUCGGAAUUACUGGGCGUAAAGCGUGCGCAGGCGGUUGUGUAAGACAGGUGUGAAAUCCCCGGGCUUAACCUGGGAACUGCGCUUGUGACUGCACGGCUAGAGUAUGGCAGAGGGGGGUGGAAUUCCACGUGUAGCAGUGAAAUGCGUAGAGAUGUGGAGGAACACCGAUGGCGAAGGCAGCCCCCUGGGCCAAUACUGACGCUCAUGCACGAAAGCGUGGGGAGCAAACAGGAUUAGAAACCCGUGUAGUCC
rnacentral:rRNA from 1 species